rnacentral:rRNA from 1 species
CAGUAGCCGCGGGAAUACGUAGGGUGCAAGCGUUAAUCGGAAUUACUGGGCGUAAAGCGUGCGCAGGCGGUCCGCUAAGACAGAUGUGAAAUCCCCGGGCAUAACUUUGGAACUGCAUUUGUGACUGGCGGGCUAGAGUACGGCAGAGGGGGGUAGAAUUCCACGUGUAGCAGUGAAAUGCGUAGAGAUGUGGAGGAAUACCGAUGGCGAAGGCAGCCCCCUGGGCCAAUACUGACGCUCAUGCACGAAAGCGUGGGGAGCAAACAGGAUUAGAUACCCCCGUAGUCCCUGUCUCUUAUAC